UGGGGAAUAUUGGACAAUGGGCGAAAGCCUGAUCCAGCCAUGCCGCGUGUGUGAAGAAGGUCUUCGGAUUGUAAAGCACUUUAAGUUGGGAGGAAGGGCAGUAAGCGAAUACCUUGCUGUUUUGACGUUACCGACAGAGUAAGCACCGGCUAACUCUGUGCCAGCAGCCGCGGUAAUACAGAGGGUGCAAGCGUUAAUCGGAAUUACUGGGCGUAAAGCGCGCGUAGGUGGUUCGUUAAGUUGAAUGUGAAAGCCCCGGGCUCAACCUGGGAACUGCAUCCAAAACUGGCGAGCUAGAGUAGGGCAGAGGGUGGUGGAAUUUCCUGUGUAGCGGUGAAAUGCGUAGAUAUAGGAAGGAACACCAGUGGCGAAGGCGACCACCUGGGCUCAUACUGACACUGAGGUGCGAAAGCGUGGGGAGCAAACAGG
rnacentral:rRNA from 1 species